rnacentral:rRNA from 2 species
GGGUUGUGAGGUUAAGCGACUAAGCGUACACGGUGGAUGCCCUGGCAGUCAGAGGCGAUGAAGGACGUGCUAAUCUGCGAUAAGCGUCGGUAAGGUGAUAUGAACCGUUAUAACCGGCGAUUUCCGAAUGGGGAAACCCAGUGUGUUUCGACACACUAUCAUUAACUGAAUCCAUAGGUUAAUGAGGCGAACCGGGGGAACUGAAACAUCUAAGUACCCCGAGGAAAAGAAAUCAACCGAGAUUCCCCCAGUAGCGGCGAGCGAACGGGGAGCAGCCCAGAGCCUGAAUCAGUGUGUGUGUUAGUGGAAGCGUCUGGAAAGGCGCGCGAUACAGGGUGACAGCCCCGUACACAAAAAUGCACAUGCUGUGAGCUCGAUGAGUAGGGCGGGACACGUGGUAUCCUGUCUGAAUAUGGGGGGACCAUCCUCCAAGGCUAAAUACUCCUGACUGACCGAUAGUGAACCAGUACCGUGAGGGAAAGGCGAAAAGAACCCCGGCGAGGGGAGUGAAAAAGAACCUGAAACCGUGUACGUACAAGCAGUGGGAGCACGCUUAGGCGUGUGACUGCGUACCUUUUGUAUAAUGGGUCAGCGACUUAUAUUCUGUAGCAAGGUUAACCGAAUAGGGGAGCCGAAGGGAAACCGAGUCUUAACUGGGCGUUAAGUUGCAGGGUAUAGACCCGAAACCCGGUGAUCUAGCCAUGGGCAGGUUGAAGGUUGGGUAACACUAACUGGAGGACCGAACCGACUAAUGUUGAAAAAUUAGCGGAUGACUUGUGGCUGGGGGUGAAAGGCCAAUCAAACCGGGAGAUAGCUGGUUCUCCCCGAAAGCUAUUUAGGUAGCGCCUCGUGAAUUCAUCUCCGGGGGUAGAGCACUGUUUCGGCAAGGGGGUCAUCCCGACUUACCAACCCGAUGCAAACUGCGAAUACCGGAGAAUGUUAUCACGGGAGACACACGGCGGGUGCUAACGUCCGUCGUGAAGAGGGAAACAACCCAGACCGCCAGCUAAGGUCCCAAAGUCAUGGUUAAGUGGGAAACGAUGUGGGAAGGCCCAGACAGCCAGGAUGUUGGCUUAGAAGCAGCCAUCAUUUAAAGAAAGCGUAAUAGCUCACUGGUCGAGUCGGCCUGCGCGGAAGAUGUAACGGGGCUAAACCAUGCACCGAAGCUGCGGCAGCGACGCUGAUGCGUUGUUGGGUAGGGGAGCGUUCUGUAAGCCUGCGAAGGUGUGCUGUGAGGCAUGCUGGAGGUAUCAGAAGUGCGAAUGCUGACAUAAGUAACGAUAAAGCGGGUGAAAAGCCCGCUCGCCGGAAGACCAAGGGUUCCUGUCCAACGUUAAUCGGGGCAGGGUGAGUCGACCCCUAAGGCGAGGCCGAAAGGCGUAGUCGAUGGGAAACAGGUUAAUAUUCCUGUACUUGGUGUUACUGCGAAGGGGGGACGGAGAAGGCUAUGUUGGCCGGGCGACGGUUGUCCCGGUUUAAGCGUGUAGGCUGGUUUUCCAGGCAAAUCCGGAAAAUCAAGGCUGAGGCGUGAUGACGAGGCACUACGGUGCUGAAGCAACAAAUGCCCUGCUUCCAGGAAAAGCCUCUAAGCAUCAGGUAACAUCAAAUCGUACCCCAAACCGACACAGGUGGUCAGGUAGAGAAUACCAAGGCGCUUGAGAGAACUCGGGUGAAGGAACUAGGCAAAAUGGUGCCGUAACUUCGGGAGAAGGCACGCUGAUAUGUAGGUGAAGUCCCUUGCGGAUGGAGCUGAAAUCAGUCGAAGAUACCAGCUGGCUGCAACUGUUUAUUAAAAACACAGCACUGUGCAAACACGAAAGUGGACGUAUACGGUGUGACGCCUGCCCGGUGCCGGAAGGUUAAUUGAUGGGGUCAGCGCAAGCGAAGCUCUUGAUCGAAGCCCCGGUAAACGGCGGCCGUAACUAUAACGGUCCUAAGGUAGCGAAAUUCCUUGUCGGGUAAGUUCCGACCUGCACGAAUGGCGUAAUGAUGGCCAGGCUGUCUCCACCCGAGACUCAGUGAAAUUGAACUCGCUGUGAAGAUGCAGUGUACCCGCGGCAAGACGGAAAGACCCCGUGAACCUUUACUAUAGCUUGACACUGAACAUUGAGCCUUGAUGUGUAGGAUAGGUGGGAGGCUUUGAAGUGUGGACGCCAGUCUGCAUGGAGCCGACCUUGAAAUACCACCCUUUAAUGUUUGAUGUUCUAACGUGGACCCGUGAUCCGGGUUGCGGACAGUGUCUGGUGGGUAGUUUGACUGGGGCGGUCUCCUCCUAAAGAGUAACGGAGGAGCACGAAGGUUGGCUAAUCCUGGUCGGACAUCAGGAGGUUAGUGCAAUGGCAUAAGCCAGCUUGACUGCGAGCGUGACGGCGCGAGCAGGUGCGAAAGCAGGUCAUAGUGAUCCGGUGGUUCUGAAUGGAAGGGCCAUCGCUCAACGGAUAAAAGGUACUCCGGGGAUAACAGGCUGAUACCGCCCAAGAGUUCAUAUCGACGGCGGUGUUUGGCACCUCGAUGUCGGCUCAUCACAUCCUGGGGCUGAAGUAGGUCCCAAGGGUAUGGCUGUUCGCCAUUUAAAGUGGUACGCGAGCUGGGUUUAGAACGUCGUGAGACAGUUCGGUCCCUAUCUGCCGUGGGCGCUGGAGAACUGAGGGGGGCUGCUCCUAGUACGAGAGGACCGGAGUGGACGCAUCACUGGUGUUCGGGUUGUCAUGCCAAUGGCACUGCCCGGUAGCUAAAUGCGGAAGAGAUAAGUGCUGAAAGCAUCUAAGCACGAAACUUGCCCCGAGAUGAGUUCUCCCUGACCCUUUAAGGGUCCUGAAGGAACGUUGAAGACGACGACGUUGAUAGGCCGGGUGUGUAAGCGCAGCGAUGCGUUGAGCUAACCGGUACUAAUGAACCGUGAGGCUUAACCUUACAACGCCGAAGCUGUU